UCACCCCCAUUAGGCGGCUUAGAUGUACACCCACCGGACUGAGCCACGCCUCAACCGUUACAGAACAAACGGUAGCCUCCACCCACCGAUUUUUUUUACUCAUAUAAUGCAUCCGCCGCAGACAGCCUUGCUGUGGAAGAUUCCCAUCUUGGCCUUCACGUCGAUCCUCACUAUCCCCACAGGCAACCUCAGAUUUCUUGCCAUUCUCUCUGAUACUGGUGCUGAAAAAUCCGAAAAAUAAUAUCUGUCAGGAUGAAAAUAUUUUUUCCAGACUCACUAACAUGCAACAAUUUUGUUUGGCUCGAAACAAAAGAGUACACACCUGGUGCUCUAUGCUCUGCUCCAGUUCUUUGACCCUCUGUGCCUGGUACUCCCUC
rnacentral:lncRNA from 1 species